GGGCGUGUGGCUCAGUUGGUAGAGCGUUCGCUUAGCAUUUUCCUUGGGACCCUUCCCUCCUAGCGAGGGGGGUCCGUUCCGGUUGUGCGAAAGGUCCUGGGUUCGAUUCCCAGCUCGUCCA
rnacentral:tRNA from 1 species